UGCUUACUUUUCCCCUGGAAUACAUGAUGAAUUUUUAUGGAGGAUGGUGGAGGAGGGGAAGAACCACAUUCAAAUGAAACCCAACAUCCCUUUCCUUCUACAGUGUCAUUUCAAAAGCCAGAUAAAAGCCAAAUGAGGAGGCUGGGAAAGAGUGUCCAACGUAGCGGUUCUGAAAACCACCCUCCAUUUCAUUCUGGAGCCGGGAGGUCACACCCAGGCAUCAGAAUAGCUUCUCUCUUCAAAGUAAAUUAACUGUCAAACAGAUCCCGACAGAACCCUCAGGUCUGGUGGUAGAAGACACAAGAAUUUUAAAGGAAUAUUCCCUGCCCUCGAUGGAGAAACUGAGGCUUGGAGCUUCUGACUAACUUCUCAAGGCCACACGGGUAGGUAAUAAGCGGAACUGCGAUUUGAAACCAGGGUCUGCCUGACUCCCAGG